ACCUUCUCCGCCCGCUCUGCACUCGGGAAGGGGACUGUGAGCGGCAGCUGCGCGCGGGGCUCUUCGAUCAACCCUCACCCCGCUGGAUUACGCCUCCCGCCAGCCCAGCUCUGGGACCCCUGGGUCUCCUCUGCUGGGACCAGACCUGCCUGCGGGUAAAUUCUUAAGAGCAGCCCGCGCAGAAUCUAUCCCAAGGAGACCGUCCAUUUUUGCUGGGGCAAUCAGGGAACUGCGCCUGCGGAUGGCUGCCCUCGGGGGACCAUUCGCCGGGGCGGCGCGCCGCUGGGGACUCGGCGUGAACCGGGCAGCGGGCGCGCGGUCUCGGAGCCCAGCCCCAGCGGCAGGCGCCAGGAGCCGCAACGCUAGGCAGGGCUGGCGCCGCUUCCUCCCGGGCACCCGCCGCUCUGUCGCUCCGGGCGCCCAGGCUCACCGGGCAUUUCUAAAUUGUAAAAAGUUUUUAUCAGAUGGUAUGGGCUGAGCAACGCUGGGAUUGGAAAGUAAAACAAGAAACUAUCACCCACCCCCUCCCCCGCCCGCUGAUUUGAAUGCUUAUUAGAUGGACCCUGGAUUCUAGUCUUGGUGUACACGCCCACGUGUAAGAGGAAGCAACCACAGCUCUCUAGACACACUCAUGCCGCCAAUCUCAUGAAAUAAGAGAGACAGCUUUCUCCAUGUUGCCCAGGCUGGUGUGCAUUCUUCGCUUCAGCCAGGAGAGCUCCCUUGGAACUGGGUGCUCCUGCUUGGGAAAAAGGUGGACAACAGGAGGGCUGCCCUACUGAACUCCUGUGGUUCAUAGACCAUGAUGUAGAGAAGGUUUCAUACACCUCUUCUUGGCUCUCGCAUAUUGUUACAAUCAUUGUAUUUAACCUAGAAUUAAGUUGAGAGAACUGUAUGGACCCAUCAUCCAACUUCAACAAUUUUCAACUAUGGUUAAUAUUAUUCGGUCUAUUGCCACACCAGAUUAUUAGUUCUUUCUCCCUGGAUUAUUUUGAUGCAAUUUCUGGACAUCAUAUUAUUUCAUCAGUUAAUAUUUUAGUAUACAUCUUUAGAAGAUAAAUAUCACUAAGUAUUUUAGUAUGUAUAUCUAACAAAACCUCCAUUUAUAAAACUACAAACCAAAUAUAUCAGACCUAGCCCCCCGAGUUUUUUAUAUUAUCAACUAUUCAGUGUUCAGAUUUUCCUGAUUGUCUCAUAAUAUUAAACAUUUGUUUUUGUUUGAAUCAAGAUCUAAA